CGACGCAACGCGAAGAACCUUACCAGGGCUUGACAUCUUCUGACCGCUUAAGGAAACUUAAGCUUUCCGGAAGGUUUACUUUCUGGACAGAAAGACAGGUGGUGCAUGGUUGUCGUCAGCUCGUGUCGUGAGAUGUUGGGUUAAGUCCCGCAACGAGCGCAACCCCUACGGUUAGUUGCUAACGGGUAAGGCCGAGCACUUUAGCCGAACUGCCGUUGACAAAACGGAGGAAGGCGGGGAUGACGUCAAAUCAUCAUGCCCUUUAUGUCCUGGGCUACACACGUGCUACAAUGGCCUGUACAAAGGGCAGCAAAGGGGCGACCCGGAGCAAAUCCCAAAAAACAGGUCUCAGUUCGGAUUGCAGGCUGCAACUCGCCUGCAUGAAGGCGGAAUCGCUAGUAAUCGCAGGUCAGCAUACUGCGGUGAAUACGUUCCCGGGCCUU
rnacentral:rRNA from 1 species